AACAAGGAAGCUGAAAUGCUAGGAAUUCAAGGAGCAACUUUACUGCUCGAUGGAGCCAAUUUAAGGCUAUGAACUAAUGAUAGGUAGGCAGGAUGAAAACUAAAUGAAAGGGCCUUUCUGGUGAAGAGAUAACAACGUGAAACGCUUUUGUAAGCUGGAUGUCUGGAUGCCUCUGUGUUUCACUGAAGUUGAUAUUGCUGGAGAUAGAUACCGAACGACUUCAUCAUCUCCUUUGAAAGAUACUUGGAUACAAACAUGUUGCGUGACAGGUGCUGAUUUUCUCAACUGCAAAGCAGAAAAGUAUGACUUGACCGAGGAUCAAAAAGAUAUGAUAGGAAAUCAGUCUAUUUUAUUCAUGGAGGGAUCUUUAAUGGCUUCUAUGAAAUUUGGAAGCAAAAUACUUCGUGCAAAACAUGGAGCCAAACAGGGAAUACUAGUUUUCACUGGAUCUUUACAUAUAGUUUAAGCUAUUUUAGGCUCCAUCAAUGGGUAGGUUAGAGUUUGUUAUUUAUUUUUUCUGUUCAUUAGACGUAUGAACUUUACAUCAAUUAAUUAGUCAUGCAACGGUAACCUUGAGGUUGUUCAUAUUGAGCGCUCGAGCUGAAGUUGUAAAGGAUUUAUUUUUCAAUGGAUCAUCGUG